rnacentral:tRNA from 1 species
GUCAAGUUAGUUUAAGCUAAAACAUCAGCCUGUGGAUUUGAAAAUGAAAAUUUAUUUCACUUGACC